rnacentral:rRNA from 1 species
GAUGAACGCUGGCGGCGUGCCUAAUACAUGCAAGUCGAGCGAACAGAUGAGGAGCUUGCUCCUCUGACGUUAGCGGCGGACGGGUGAGUAACACGUGGAUAACCUACCUAUAAGACUGGGAUAACUUCGGGAAACCGGAGCUAAUACCGGAUAAUAUAUUGAACCGCAUGGUUCAAUAGUGAAAGACGGUUUUGCUGUCACUUAUAGAUGGAUCCGCGCCGCGUUAGCUAGUUGGUAAGGUAACGGCUUACCAAGGCAACGAUGCGUAGCCGACCUGAGAGGGUGAUCGGCCACACUGGAACUGAGACACGGUCCAGACUCCUACGGGAGGCAGCAGUAGGGAAUCUUCCGCAAUGGGCGAAAGCCUGACGGAGCAACGCCGCGUGAGUGAUGAAGGUCUUCGGAUCGUAAAACUCUGUUAUUAGGGAAGAACAAAUGUGUAAGUAACUAUGCACGUCUUGACGGUACCUAAUCAGAAAGCCACGGCUAACUACGUG